UACGGAGGGGGCCAGCGUUGUUCGGAAUCAUUGGGCGUAAAGGGCGCGUAGGCGGCCGACCAAGUCGGAGGUGAAAUCCCUCGGCUCAACUGUGGAACUGCUCGGUAUACUGGUUGUCUUGAGCCACUUAGGGGCAGUCGGAACAGACGGUGGAGCGGUGAAAUGCGUAGAUAUCGUCUGGAACGCCAAAGGUGAAAACAGACUGCUGGGAGUGUGCUGACGCUGAGACACGAAAGCCAGGGGAGCAAAGCGGGAUUAGAUGACCCUA
rnacentral:rRNA from 1 species